rnacentral:misc_RNA from 1 species
UUAGGACCAAAGAGGGGACUAUCCAUAUUGUAAGGUUCCGACGCGAGUGAGGUGGAGGCAGGGCCAGCUUGUUUGAUGAGGUCAGACAUUGUCCGUAUACUGUUGAUGAUGAUGCAAGGUUAAUUGGUCAUCGCAAAAGAAAUUUGAUCUUUUGGCUUCCUUCACCAAUUUACAUUUUAGAUGUUUUUGUAAGAAAUGAAGGUAGAAGAGCUGAUGAAGAGAGGAGCGUGGGUAUGGCUUGGCAUCACGGGAUGCUGCGACGUUGACCAAAGCAAUCUUUUUUUUUUUAUUGUUCACCAAUAUGAACUUUAAUUAUAAAAUAAACAUAUUUUAGAUACCAAA